rfam:Sinomonas sp. MTSC 117 Contig91, whole genome shotgun sequence.
UGAUCUGCGGCGGGAGAGUCCUGCGAGCAUGAGCAAGCAGGCGCCGUAGGAGCAACACCUCCCCAGGAAUCUCUCAGGCACCUGUACCGCCGCGGCAAG